AGAGUUUGAUCAUGGCUCAGAACGAACGCUGGCGGCAGGCCUCAAACAUGCAAGUCUAGGGGACGUAGCAAUACGUCACCGGCGGACGGGUGCGUAACACGUGGGAAUAUACCUUUCGGUACGGAACAACGCAGGGAAACUUGCGCUAAUACCGUAUACGUCCUUACGGAGAAAGAUUUAUCGCCGAAGGAUUAGCCCGCGUUCGAUUAGCUAGUUGGUGAGGUAAUGGCUCACCAAGGCAACGAUCGAUAGCUGUUCUGAGAGGAAGAUCAGCCACACUGGGACUGAGACACGGCCCAGACUCCUACGGGAGGCAGCAGUUGGGAAUCUUGGACAAUGGGGGAAACCCUGAUCCAGCCAUGCCGCGUGAGUGAUGAAGGCCUUCGGGUUGUAAAGCUCUUUUACCCGGGAAGAUAAUGACUGUACCGGGAGAAUAAGCUCCGGCUAACUUCGUGCCAGCAGCCGCGGUAAUACGAAGGGGGCUAGCGUUGUUCGGAAUUACUGGGCGUAAAGCGCGCGCAGGCGGUUUCUCAAGUCAGUGGUGAAAGCCCGGAGCUCAACUCCGGAACUGCCAUUGAAACUGUGAAACUUGAGGACGAGAGAGGUGAGUGGAAUUCCCAGUGUAGAGGUGAAAUUCGUAGAUAUUGGGAAGAACACCGGUGGCGAAGGCGGCUCACUGGCUCGUUUCUGACGCUCAGGCGCGACAGCGUGGGGAUCAAACAGGAUUAGAUACCCUAGUAGUCC
rnacentral:rRNA from 1 species